CAGAAGGAGAUCCUGCUCUUAGCGGGACUCGGGGCUUAGCAGAGGACUCUAUAGAUCCUGAGAAGAAAACAUCGGAAUGUGGGAGUGGGAAGGAUAGUUCUGUUUCUGCCAAAGUCAGUGAUGGAACAAACAGUAUUGCCAAGACUAGUGGAAGUGCGAAAAUUAGCGACCGUGUUGAGAUGGUUGAGAGUGGCAAGAGCAGCAUGUGUCGAGGAAGCACUAGCAGCGACAUCAGUGACGAAAGCACCUGUAGCAGCUUUAGUAGUAGUAUCAGUAAGCCUCACAAAGCAAAUGACUUGAGAUGGGAGGCCAUCCAAGCUGUACGUGCAAGGGAUGGGAUAUUGGGAUUAGGUCAUUUUAGACUAUUGAAGAGACUGGGAUGUGGGGAUAUCGGAAGCGUCUACUUGUCGGAGUUGAG
rnacentral:misc_RNA from 1 species